GGCAACCCUGACGGAGCAACGCCGCGUGUGGGAGGACGGCCUUCGGGUUGUAAACCACUUUUCUCAGGGAAGAAGGACUGACGGUACCUGAGGAAUAAGCCUCGGCUAACUCCGUGCCAGCAGCCGCGGUAAUACGGAGGAGGCAAGCGUUAUCCGGAAUUACUGGGCGUAAAGCGUUCGUAGGGGGCUCGUCAAGUCUGCUGUCAAAGGCUGGAGCUUAACUCCGGUAGAGCAGUGGAAACUGGUGUGCUAGAGGGCGACAGGGGUAGAGGGAAUUCCCAGUGUAGCGGUGAAAUGCGUAGAGAUUGGGAAGAACACCGGUGGCGAAAGCGCUCUACUGGGUCGCACCUGACCCUCAGGGACGAAAGCUAAGGUAGCG
rnacentral:rRNA from 1 species